rnacentral:rRNA from 1 species
AUUGAACGCUGGCGGCAGGCCUAACACAUGCAAGUCGAGCGGAUGAAGGGAGCUUGCUCCUGGAUUCAGCGUCGGACGGGUGAGUAAUGCCUAGGAAUCUGCCUGGUAGUGGGGGAUAACGUCCUGAAACGGGCGCUAAUACCGCAUACGUCCUGAGGGAGAAAGUGGGGGAGCUUCGGACCUCACGCUAUCAGAUGAGCCGAGGUCGGAUUAGAUAGUUGGUGGGUUAAAGGCCUACCAAGGCGACAAUCCGUAACUGGUCUGUGAGGAUGAUAAGUCACCCGGGAACUGAGACACGGUCCAGACUCCUACGGGAGGACGCAGUGGGGAAUAUUGGACAAGAGGCGAAAGCCUGAUCCAGCCAUGGGGCGUGUGUGAAGAAGGUCUUCGGAUUGUAAAGCCCUUUAAGUUGGGAGGAACGGCAGUAAGUUAAUACCUUGCUGUUUUGACGUUACCAACAGAAUAAGCACCGGCUAACUUCGUG